rfam:Triticum aestivum genome assembly, contig: Triticum_aestivum_CS42_TGACv1_scaffold_446698_5DL
CUUGUACUCCCUCCGUCCGAAAAUACUUGUCAUUGAAAUGGAUGUAUGUAGAUGUAUUUUAGUUCUAGACACAUCCAUUUUGAUGACAAGUAAUUCCGGACGGAGGGAGUACUUG